CCUACGGGGGGCAGCAGUGAGGAAUAUUGGUCAAUGGACGAGAGUCUGAACCAGCCAAGUAGCGUGAAGGAUGACUGCCCUAUGGGUUGUAAACUUCUUUUAUAAAGGAAUAAAACGAGGCACGUGUGCCUUUUUGCAUGUACUUUAUGAAUAAGGAUCGGCUAACUCCGUGCCAGCAGCCGCGGUAAUACGGAGGAUCCGAGCGUUAUCCGGAUUUAUUGGGUUUAAAGGGAGCGUAGAUGGGUUGUUAAGUCAGUUGUGAAAGUUUGCGGCUCAACCGUAAAAUUGCAAUUGAUACUGGCAGUCGUGAGUACAGUUGAGGUAGGCGGAAUUCGUGGUGUAGCGGUGAAAUGCUUAGAUAUCACGAAGAACCCCGAUUGCGAAGGCAGCUUACUAAACUGUGACUGACAUUGAUGCUCGAAAGUGGGGGUAUCAAACAGGAUUAGAUACCCGUGUAGUC
rnacentral:rRNA from 1 species